rnacentral:rRNA from 1 species
UACGGAGGAGACAAGCGUUAUCCGGAAUUAUUGGGCGUAAAGCGUCCGCAGGUGGCACCUCAAGUCUGCUGUCAAAGACCGGGGCUUAACCCCAGAAAGGCAGUGGAAACUGAAGUGCUAGAGUGCAGUAGGGGUAGAGGGAAUUCCCGGUGUAGCGGUGAAAUGCGUAGAGAUCGGGAAGAACAUCGGUGGCGAAAGCGGUUCUCUGGGACGGUACUGACGCUGAGACGCGAAAGCGUGGGGAGCGAACAGG